rnacentral:rRNA from 1 species
UACGGAGGGUGCAAGCGUUAUCCGGAUUCACUGGGUUUAAAGGGUGCGUAGGAGGGCAGGUAAGUCAGUGGUGAAAUCUCCAAGCUUAACUUGGAAACUGCCGUUGAUACUAUCUGUCUUGAAUAUUGUGGAGGUGAGCGGAAUAUGUCAUGUAGCGGUGAAAUGCUUAGAUAUGACGCAGAACACCAAUUGCGAAGGCAGCUGGCUACACAAAUAUUGACACUGAGGCACGAAAGCGUGGGGAUCAAACAGG